GAUGAACGCUGGCGGCGUGCCUAAUACAUGCAAGUCGAGCGAACAGACGAGGAGCUUGCUCCUCUGACGUUAGCGGCGGACGGGUGAGUAACACGUGGAUAACCUACCUAUAAGACUGGGAUAACUUCGGGAAACCGGAGCUAAUACCGGAUAAUAUAUUGAACCGCAUGGUUCAAUAGUGAAAGACGGUUUUGCUGUCACUUAUAGAUGGAUCCGCGCCGCAUUAGCUAGUUGGUAAGGUAACGGCUUACCAAGGCGACGAUGCGUAGCCGACCUGAGAGGGUGAUCGGCCACACUGGAACUGAAACACGGUCCAGACUCCUACGGGAGGCAGCAGUAGGGAAUCGUCCGCAAUGGGCGAAAGCCUGACGGAGCAACGCCGCGUGAGUGAUGAAGGUCUUCGGAUCGUAAAACUCUGUUAUUAGGGAAGAACAAAUGUGUAAGUAACUAUGCACGUCUUGACGGUACCUAAUCAGAAAGCCACGGCUAACUACGUG
rnacentral:rRNA from 1 species